UACAGGGGGGGCAAGCGUUGUCCGGAAUCACUGGGCGUAAAGGGCGCGUAGGCGGCCUGAUAAGUAGGGGGUGAAAUCCUGCGGCUUAACCGCAGGGCUGCCUUCUAAACUGUCAGGCUUGAGCACAGUAGAGGCAGGUGGAAUUCCCGGUGUAGCGGUGGAAUGCGUAGAGAUCGGGAAGAACAUCAGUGGCGAAGGCGGCCUGCUGGGCUGUUGCUGACGCUGAGGCGCGAAAGCGUGGGGAGCAAACAGG
rnacentral:rRNA from 1 species